rnacentral:lncRNA from 1 species
UACUUAGUAUAUUUAAUGUUCUUCUUUUACAACCUAUCGGAGAUUGAAUGGAUGAAACACUAUUAUUGUCUUUAUGCAGCAAUGUGUCCAUGAUAGUUUUCACUUUUUAAAAGAUUCUACUUCCCCGUAUACUUAUGUCUCUUAUGUUAUCCUCUUGUGUUUUAUCUCUAAUUUAUCUUCCUGGUUACACCAGCUCCUUGUGUCUUCGCUCCCCCCUUGUGUGUUUAUGAUGGCAGCUCCGCAUCAUGGUGCGAGGCACCGGUGGCUGCAGUAGGUGUAGAUGACGAGGAAGAGCCAGCUUUGUGGCCUUGCUGCACCCACGUCAGCUUUUCAUUACUCCAUAUACGGACAUUAGGUUGAUGUUGUUGCAUAUGCAAAUAAUUGGUUUGUUAUCCAUAGUUCUUCUACUUCAGAUUUGAUGCUAGGUGCCUUAGAGCUUAUACUAGAUGAUACAAAGGGGUUACCUAGCUUUCUUUCCGUGGGCAUACGUAUCUUGUGCCUUAGAGCUUAUAUAGCAUAUUUUGUGCCCCAUAAUAUUUUACAGAAUUCUUUGCUGAAAGUUUGAAUAAAAAUGUCGUAAGAAUCUGGAUAAAAGAAAGUGGAAUGAAUAUAUAUGUAUAUUCCAUGGGCAGGAUAUCUAACGGGAACCAUUUAAAUUAUGAUGGUCGUAUUCUAUAACUACAAUUAAGGAGUAUUUUAGCACAUGUUGCUUAUAAAAUUCUUAUCUAAUUAUACUUAGAAUUUCUUUUGGCAGCUCCUUUUUGUUUAGUUGUUUCGUAAGCACACAAAUAGUGCAUUCUUGACAACCUCUUUCUCCCAUGCAGUGAACUGGGGAGGCAUCACAUAAAUUACAAAUAUUUUCAUUUUUCCUUGAUUUAUAGAAGAAUAGAAUGUUGCACGUUGCUUCUAUGGUGUAUCACCCAAUGUAUAGCUUCCUUGAUUUUAUUUUGUUUCAGCUAGUGGCAUGGUAUUCUGCCAUGUACCACUGUUUUUAUUUAUAGUUUGCAUGUCCAUUGAAAAGACUAAAUCAUUUACUCUGUUUCUCUUGGUCCAGUGAAAGACCAAAUCCAUGUGUAGCUGUUCUGGCUUUGUGGUGUGCAUCAUCUAGCUGAAAUAAUGAAAUGAUGUGAGAUUAUGUUAGAGCUUGCUGGUGUGAUGCUUGUCAAUCGUGCUAUGCCGUUGUCUGCUGAAUUCUGGUUGUACAUCGAUGCAAAUGAACAUGGACACAACUUAUUCUAUACAUUUUAUUAAAAAUUCAAACCGCUGAACAUGAUCACUUCCAUAUCUCUGAAAUUUUAUGCUUUUGGUUUCCAAUGGUAUUUGGUUUCUGUACACUGCAAGCCCCACGAUGCUAAUUGAAAUAUCCUUUAUCAUGUUGCAGAUGCUUAGCAAAUUCUUUUGCUGCUACCUGAUCAUAAUCAUCUAAUUUUUUACUCCUUUCAUUUCUGACCAUAAUCAUCUAAUUUUUUACUCCUUUCAUUUCUAUAAGAAUGGCUGGAAGAGAGUUAUCCUGCAUGGGCACAUAGACCAGGAUACAUUGUACAUUGUAUCUCAGGAUAUAGCAACAUGAGGUGAGGUUUACGGGAAACACAAAAGAGGGAGCUAAAGGUACGCAUCCUUCUAUUUUUUUGGAAGGGUACCCCUUUUCUCGUCAGUGAUAAUGAAUUCUCUUCAGCUGCUUUGGCAUGAAAUCGUAUUCAAGGCAGCUUAGAGAAAAUAUCAUGUUCUCUAAUUGUCGUGUAUAAUAUUAACUGGGGAUUUUGACUUGCAGAUGUUCAAGUUGGAGGAUGUUAUCCAAUGAGAUGAAGAAUGAAGGUUUUGAUGUCAAGUAUGAGAAUGAUGCAAGGAUCUGCAUCUUGGUGGAAGGAUGUGAGGAUGGGGCUGUAGUUUCCCACUAGAAGGCAGGCAAAUGAUGUGCCUUGAGACAAAUUGCCGAAAACAAAGCGAGGAAUUUAAUUAGUUACAUUAGUUUAUAGGAAACUUGGAUGGUCAUUAGUUCAUAAUAGAUGAACUAUUUAUAUGUAAAAAUUAAUGCAUCUGUGUUGUUUAUAUGUGAAUUGUUUGGUUCUGGUUCAAUAUUGUUGGAAGACAUGCACUUCACUAUUAUGAGUUAGGCAACUUGAUUAAUAUUCUGUUGGUAAUGUGAAAUCCAGCUAUGGGAGGGCUAGGAGAUGUUGGUCGGCAAAACUGAACCCCAUCUGAUAGUUGGUCGGUAAAAGCUAAUGACAGGCCCAACAAUAUGUUGGUCGCGAAAUAAUACCCUAUCUGAUAGUCAGUCGGGAAAACCCAUGGCAACCCUGACAGAUAGUUGGUUGGGAAAAGUUUACCAUGUCAGAUAAUCGGUCGGGAAAGGCCCAUGGUAGCCCCAAUGAACCGUUGGUCAGGAAAGGCCCAUGUCAGGCCCAACAGAUUGUUGGUCGGGAAAGAUACCUAAAGCCAACAAGCAGUCGGUCAGGAAAGGGCUUUCCCGUCUGGACUUUCCCCAACAGAGGACGUUGGUCGGCAAUAGUCUUUCCCAACAGUCUGUUUGUCGGCGAAACUUGUAUUCCCGACCAGCCUGACUGUUGGGAAUGUAGUGUUGUGGUGUAGUGUAUGUCGCUAGAGCUUCGAGGGGCCCACGAGGUAGGGGGCGCGCACAGGGGGGGCCUCCACCCUCGUGACCGCCUCGUGGCUUUCUCGACGGAGGGUCCAAGUCUCCUAGGUCUUAUCUGAUGAGAAAAUCACGUUCCCGAAGGUUUCAUUCCGUUUGGACUCCGUUUGAUAUUCUGUUUCUUCGAAAUACUGAAAAAGGCAAGAAAAAACAACAAUUCUGGGCUGGAAAAUAAUAUAAAAGUGGAAAAUAAAGCCCAAUAUAGUCCAAAACAGUAGAUAAAGUAGCAUGGAGCAAUCAAAAAUUAUAGAUACAUUGGAGACGUAUCAGUUACCAUUUUUCGUUUAAGAAUUUUGAUGUAUUCACAUCUUGUUGAAUUGCUUUGACUCAUGACUUGGAGUAAAGCUUCUCUAAGAUGGAAUAACAUACCUUGGGUGGUGGUGUUGAUCGUGAUCAUGUAGUUGAACUUGUGUGGGUUGCUCAAGGUUGAUGUAGCUCAUCAAGAGUUGGGAGCACCACUUGGAAUUGGAGUUCAUCUACCUACAUGGAUUAGAUUUGCAAGGAAAAGCACUUGUGUAUCCAAAAUGACAAUCAUGAAACUUAAUAUAGAAUUUGUCAAAGGAUAUGAUUGAAGGGUUUCGUGCUUCCUUGUCUUCAACCACCAUUGUGUAGAGACUUGGUGAUGUAGAGAUUGCUCAAGAUGUGAGUGAGAUGCAAUCUCAUAGAUUUAGAUUCAUCCAAUUACCUACAAGGGUUAGAUACCAUGCAAGGGUGCAAAUAUAUCCAAGAUAUAUGAUUAUCAUCAUAAGAGAAACAUCAAGGAUUAGUCAUAGGCUCAUGUCUUGCAUGUAUCCAAAUGGAGUUCCUACUCCAAGUUUGAAGCAUCGAUGAUGUUCAAUUCACCUCUCAACCUACAAAACACUUUCUCAUCAAGUGGUUUAGUGAAUAUACCUGCUAAUUGCUUAUCGGUGCGAACAUGCUUAAGGUUAAUGUCCCCUUUGGCAACGAGAUCUCGAAUGAAAUGAUGACGAACUUCAAUAUGCUUAGUUCGAGAAUGUUGCACAAGAUUGUGAGCAAUCUUGAUAGCACUUUCAUUGUCACAAAGCAAUGGAACAUGUUUCACAUAUAUCCCAUAAUCUUUAAGAGUUUGGGUCAUCCAAAGUAAUUGAGCACAAUAUGAACCAGCGGCAAUGUAUUCCGCUUUGGCGGUGGAUAAGGAUACCGAGUUUUGUUUCUUGGAGGACCAAGACACAAGAGAUCUACCAAGAAAUUGAUAAGUACCCGAAGUGGACUUUCUAUCAACCUUGUCACCGGCAUAGUUCGAGUCGGAGUAGCCAACAAUAUUAAAAGAGGCCCUCUUAGGAUACCAAAUGCCAAAGUUUGGUGUAUGGAUUAAGUAUCUCACUAUCAUUUUCACGGCCUUAAGAUGACAUUCUUUAGGGGCCGCUUGAUAUCGUGCACACAUGCACACACUUAGGAUAAUAUCGGGACGAGAGGCACAUAGAUAUAACAAUAAACCAAUCAUGGAGCGGUAAACCUUUUGAUCAACCGGUUCACCAUCUUUGGUCAAAUCAAGAUGUCCACUAGUAGGCAUGGGUGUAGUCAUACCUUUGCAUUCUUGCAUAUUGAACUUCUUGAAUAAGUCCUUGGUGUACUUUGUUUGAGAGACAAAGGUACCUUCCUUAGUUUGCUUGAUUUGCAAACCAAGAAAGAAUUUGAGUUCACUCAUCAUAGACAUCUCAAACUUCUUCGACAUUAGCUUUCCAAACUUUUCACUAAAGUGAGGGUUAUUUGAACCAAAUAUAAUAUCAUCCACAUAGAUUUGGCACACAAAUAGUUCUCCUUUAACCCUUUUAGUAAAAAGAGUAUAAUCAUUUUUUCCAAUUUCAAAGCCUUUUUCAAUAAGGAACUUGGUCAAGAAUUUAUACCACGCUCUAGGAGCUUGUUUAAGACCAUAAAGAGCUUUGUGAAGUUUGUAAACAUGAUUGGGUUUCUUAGGAUUGACAAAGCCGGGAGGUUGCUUAACAUAAACUUCUUCCUCUAUUUCACCAUUUAGAGAAGCACUUUUAAUGUCCAUUUGGUACAAGGUGAUAUCAUGCUGAUUAGCAUAGGCAAGUAAUAUGCAAAUGGACACAAGUCUAGCAAUGGGGGCAUAUGUCUCACCAUAGUCCAUACCUUCGACUUGAGUGUAGCCUUGGGCGACGAGACGUGCUUUGUUGCGAACUACUUGUCCAUCUUCAUCUUACUUGUUGCGAAACACCCAUUUGGUACCGAUGAUGUUGUGGUUGUUGUCGGGCUUCUCGACCAAUGUCCACACUUGGUUUAUCUCAAAGUUGUGUAGCUCUUCAUGCAUAACAUUUAUCUAAUCCAGAUCUUCCAAUGCUUCUUCAACCUUCAUGGGUUUAAUGCUAGAGAUGAAUGAAUAAUGUUCACAAAAGUUAGCCAAAUGAGUUUUAGAGCGAGUGAUUCUCCCGGUUUGGAUAUCAUUGUAGAUUUGCUCGACGGGAUGGUCUUUGGCAACUCUUGCUCGAAAUCGUGAAAGAUUUUGCUUGGAUCUUGGUGGAACAUCUUCUUCAUCUUGUUCUUCUUCUUGGCCUUCUUCAAUGUUGACAUUGUCAUUCUCUUGUCGUGGUGGAGAAGGAGGUUGUUGAUGUUCAUCUUGGUGUACUUCCUUGUUUUCUUCGUCUUGGUGUGUCCCACUUGUGGAUGCUUCCGUAUCAACUCUUGGUUCACCUUGCCAUGAGGUGGAAGCUUCCACUUGGACGGACGGGGUACUCUCCUUCACCUCCGUUGGACGAAUCUUGGCAAUAGACAAGUCUUGGAUUGCUUCCGAAGGGUCUUUGUCUCCUACAUUAAUUGGCAACUGCUCUACUUGCGAGCUGUUAGAUUCAUCAAACUUCACAUCUACCGUCUCUUCAACCUUUCUGGUGAAAUUAUUGUAGACACGGUAAGUGUGAGAGUUUGAGCUGUAACCAAGUAGGAAACCUUCAUGAGAUUUAGGAGCACAUUUAGAACGACAAUGCUUAUCAAGAAUGUAGCACUUUGAGCCGAAUACUCGAAAGUAUCCAACUUGGGGUUUGUUACCAGUGACGAGCUCGUAUGUUGUCUUGCCGAGUAGCUUGUGAAGAUACAAGCGAUUUGUUGCAUGACAAGCUGUCUCAACCGCUUCCAUCAAAAAGUGCUUUGGCGUCUUGUACUCAUCAAGCAUCAUUCUCGCCAUUUCGAUGAGUGUCCGGUUCUUCCUCUCAACAACUCCAUUUUGUUGAGGUGUGUACAUAGCCGAGCACUCAUGUGAAAUCCCUUCUUCAUCAAGAAAGGUGUCCACAUUUGCGUUCCUCAACUGCAUUCUGUUGUCGCUGUGAACCUUCUUGAUCUUCACUUCAAAUUGAUUUUGAGCCUUCCUAGCAAACUUUUUGAAGAUCUUUUGGACCUGCAAUUUGUCAUCAAGAAAGAACACCCACGUAUAUCUUGAAAAAACAUCAACUAUAACUAGACCAAAAGAAUUUCCACCGAGACUUUUGUACGCGUUGGGACCAAAAAGAUCCAUGUGAAGUAGCUCGAGUGGCCUCCUUUUGGUCGUGAUGUUCUUCACGGGAUGCCUUCCUCCAACCUUUUUACCCGCUUGACAAGCGCUGCAACGUCUAUCCUUAUCAAAUAUGACAUUGUUAACGCCAAGGAUAUGAUUUCCUUUAAUAAGCUUAUCAUGGUUUCACAUGCCCACAUGACCUAACCGUCUAAGCCACAACCAACCUUUAGAGGAUUUAGCAAUUCAGUAAGUUCUAGGUUGAGCCUUUUUAGUGAAAUCAACAAUGUAAAGAUCACCUCUAUGUAUACCGGUAAAGACCAUUUUAUGAUUAUCUCUACGAAACACUUGGCAAUCUACUUCAAUAAAUAGGACAUUGAAACCGAAAUCAACAAGUCUAGAUACUGAACGUAAAUUGUACCCAAGAGAUUCAACGAGCAUGACAUUUUGUAUGGAGCUAUCAUGUGAGAUGGCCACCUUACCGAGGCCAACCACCUUACCCUUUGAGUUAUCACCAAAAGUGACAUACUUUCGAGGUCCAUCGUUUUCAGCAAGCUCACGAAACAUAUCUUUAUCUCCGGUCAUGUGGUCGGUACAUCCACUAUCAAGGACCCAUUCCUUUCCUCCUGCCAUGUAUCCCCGAAGAUUUGCCAUAAUACCAAAGUGUCUCAUUGCAUCAUCAAGAUCAAAGUCACUAUCAUCAUCCUUAGCAUAGUAUCCAUGUUCAACAUCGUCAUGUGAUGGAUCAAUUCCUAGAGAGGGUGGUUCAUUAGAAUGAGUAUGACAAUGAUCUUCUUUAUGAAUUCUAAUAGCUUCGGAAAUAAUAUCGCUAAUAAUUCCAACAUCUCCUUUGGCACGCAUGAGAUUUGUAAGUUCAAAUAGACAAUCACCAAACUUAGGAUCAUUGGAAUUCAUCUUACUCAAGGCAAUAGACUUAUGGAGAAUUUCAUCUAGAUUUUGCAAGGGAUAGUUUGGAAAACGUUCCUCAAGAAAUUUCCAUAUAGUGUAGGCGGAACCAAGAGUAGGCAAACAUCCAAUCAAGUUUCUAGGCAAGUCUCUAGUGAUAAGAUUAACAGUUCUACGAUUUCGGAUCAUGUCAAUUGACUCAUCAAGGGUAGGAUGCAUAGGAUCAACAUGAGGUGCACAAGGGCUAGUAAUGUACUUGUUCAAAUGAUAUUCAUUGAAAAUCAGAAGCAUCUCAUUUUUCCACUCAUGAAAGUACUCUCCUUCAAGUAUCGGCACUCUAUGUCUAAGACUCCCCAAAGUAGACUCAUCCAUGUUCCUCCAAUGGUGUUUAAACCAAAGCAAUGGAGACCAAAGCUCUGAUACCAAUUGAAAGGAUCAAGAAGAGGUGCAGACUCUAUGUGAGAAAAGUUGCAGUUUUCAAUUUCUUUAAGUUGAAGUGGAGGUUGGCACAAGUUUCAACAUUCACAAUACAUAUCAAGCAAGCAUGACAAGAGUAUAUGGGCAGCAUAAAGUAAAGCAUGCAAAUUGCCAGAAUGUAAAGGGAUGUGAUUGGAGUGUGCAAACGCAAUUUGGAGACACAGAGAUUUUUUAUCUGUGGUUCCGAUAGGUGGUGCUAUCGUACAUCCACGUUGAUGGAGAUUUCAACCCACGAAGGGUAACGGUUGCGUGAGUCCACGGAGGGCUCACCCACGAAGGGUCCACGAAGAAGCAACCUUGUCUAUCCCACCAUGGUCGUCGCCCAUGAAGGACUUGCCUCACUAGGGUAGAUCUUCACGAAGUAGGCGAUCUCCUUGCCCGUACAAACUCGUUGGUUCAACUCCACAAUCUUGACGGAGGCUCCCAAGUGACACCUAGCCAAUCUAGGAGACACCACUCUCCAAGAAGUAACAAAUGGUGUGUUGAUGAUGAACUCCUUGCUCUUGUGCUUCAAAUGAUAGUCUCCCCAACACUCAACUCUCUCUCACGGGAUUUGGAUUUGGUGGAAAGAAGAUUUGAGUGGAAAGCAACUUGGGGAAGGCUAGAGAUCAAGAUUUAUGUGGUAGGAAUGGAAUAUCUUGACCUCAACACAAGUGUAGGUGGUUCUCUCUCAGAAAAUGUAUGUUGGAAGUGUAGGCAUGUUCUGAUGGCUCUCUCCACGAAUGAAGAGUGGGUGGAGGGGUAUAUAUAGCCUCCACACAAAAUCUAACCAUUACACACAACUUCCCAAACUCGGUGGGACCGAAUCAUGAAACUCGGUCGAACCAAUUAGUAAAUAAUGUGACCGUUAGGAAUUUUGGUGGGACCGAUAUGGUUAGGGUUAGGGCAUAACGUAAUCUCGGUGAGACCGAUUACACAAACUCGGUGAGACCGACUUUGGUAAUAGACACACAGAGUUGGUCAGGCAAACUCGGUAGGACUGAUUCGCUCAUCUCGGUUUGACCAAAACGUUACGAAAGGGAAACAGUGAGUUUGCAUUGCAAUCUUGGUGGGACCGAUCGCUUAUCUCGGUUUGAUCAAAAUGUUAUGAAAGGCAACAGAUAGAUUACAAUUCCAUCUCGGUGAGACAGAGGUCCCUAUUGGUGAGACUGGAAAGACUAGGGUUUCUGGCAGUGGCUAUGUCAGCUGAACUCGGUGGCACCGGAUAGAAAGUUUCGGUAGGGCCGAGUUUGACUUUUGGUUUGGGACAUAUGUGGAUGUGAGAAAGUGGUUGAGGGCUUUGGAGCAUAUUAAGCACUUUGAGAAAGAAAGCCAUUAAGCAACACCUCAUCCCCUCUUAAUAGUAUUGGCUUUUCCUAUGGACUCAAUGUGAUCUUGGAUCACUAAAAGUAAAGUGUAGAGUCUUGUGCUUUGAGCUUGAGCCAAUACUUUGUCCUUAGCCUCUUGAAGGGGUUCCACAUCCUUUAGUCCAUGCCACUCCAUUGUUGAACUUAUCUGAAACAUACUAGGUAAAAGUAUUAGUCCAACAAGAGAUAUGUUGACAUUAAUUACCAAAAUCACCCAGGGAGCACUUGUGCUUUCAGGGGGAUAUUGUUUCUGACCACCGGUGUUCCGCUGACGGGGCUCAUCAUCGUCUUCGCUUGGGGGCCCUUUGCCCUUGUGUUCGGUAUUUAACUUAUCGGCCUGUUUGAAAACCCAACAGCUCCUGUUGGUAUGAUAUUCAUACUUACCGGGUGUGCCAUGAAUCUGACAGAGCCUCUCAAGGAUUUUAUCUAAGUUGGAUGGCCCGUCUUUGCCUUUGAAAGGUUUCUUCUGCUGACCGGACUUCGGACCGCUUAAUCUGGCAUUGACUAUCAUAUCAUCUGCGCCGUCGUUGCUACUUUUCUGAUGUUUGUUUUUAUUGCGGUGGGGUUUACCAGUUGUCUUCGCCCGCACAGAAGUGGGUCAUGAGUGCCGUUAAUGCCGCCAUGGUCUUCGGUUUUUCCUGCCCAAGGUGUCGGGCGAGCCAUUCGUCACGGACGCCAUGCUUAAAGGCCGCUAAGGCUUCGGCAUCUGGACAGUCUAUGAUCUGGUUCUUUUUAGUUAAGAACCAAUUCCAAAGCUUGCCGGCUGAUUCACUUGGCUGCUGAAUUAUGUGACUCAAGUCGUCAGCAUCCGGUGGCCGGACAUAAGUGCCCUGGAAGUUAGCCCUAAAGGCAUCUUCCAAGUCUUCCCAGGUUCCAAUGGAGUUUUCUGGGAGGUUGUUUAUCCAGUGUCGUGAUGGUCCUUUUUUUACGGGGAGAUAUUUAAUGGCAUGGAGAUCGUCUCCUCGAGCCAUAUGAAUAUGGAGAAGGAAGUCUUCAAUCUAGACGGCCAGAUCUGUCGUUCCAUCGUAUGGUUCGAUGUUUACGGGUUUAAACCCUUCCAAAAACUGAUGUUCCAUAACCUCAUCAGUAAAGCAUAAGGGAUGUGCAGCUCCUCUGUAUCUAGAGAUGUCGUGGCGGAGAUCGGCUGGCAUCUGGGUUCGGGACUAAUCCCGAACAUAGUAGCGGUCGUCACGCCGGGCUUCAUAGCCAUUAUCUCGUGCCGGGGCAUGCCCCCUUGAUCCAUAGAUUGAUCUAGUCUGACCAGCUUUAUAGGCUAUGUCACGUUGCAAGUCGUAUGUAUAUCACACGGCUGCAGUUUCCCUGCCUCUUCGGCAAGGGGGUGAGGGUUGGUGUUCGGCCUGAUAUGCCACUUUAUCCCAUCCAUGUCGUGGUCGGUCUGGUUGGUCUGUCUGAUUGUAUUUCGACGGUAUUGGUUCAAGGACUUCGUCAUCGAAUUAAGGCAGCAGCUUGCGCCUAGGGUAACUUUUGACAGGUCGGUCUUGGUUGUAUUCCUCGGCGGCGAGGACCUUAGUACACCUUUCAUUCAGUGUGUCUUGCUCUUCUUUGAGUUGCUGCUGCUUCCUCUUCAGGCUCCAAGCUAUAGCAAUAAGCUGUCGCUUGAAGCGUUCUUAGUUGAGGGGUUCCUCUUGGACAAUGAAGUCCUCAUCACCGAGGCUGACCUCCUCGCCGGAUUCUGGCAUGUAGUUGUUGUCUUUCGUAUCUUUGCUGUCAGCGCGUCCAGGGCUAUAUUCACCUUCUUCCCGCUCGUCCUGUUCGGAUGUGGUCUCGAUAAGGUGUUCAUUAUCUUUAGCGCCAUCCGGAGUCUCAUUGUCUCCGGUGCCGGUAUUACUAUCCUUCUCCCGAUGCGAUCGGGAGUGACGCCGCUGACAUCGGCGCUUUGGUGGUUUAUCGACAGGUCUAUCCUCAUCUGGGCUUGGGUUCUCCUCGUCGUUCUUCAAAGUGUCCACCAUGUAUACAUCGUAUGUUGAGGUGGCCAUCCAACACCCUGUAACGGGUGGGACUUGGUUUUGUUCGGCGUCGGCAUCAUCGUCCAUGCCGUCGAUGUCUUCGGACGCAUAAUCCAGCAUGUCGGUUAAGUCCUCGAUAGUGGCUAUCAAGUGGGUGGUUGGUGGGGCGUAAAGUUCCCCUCUCUCAGCCCCCAGUCCAGGUUGGGUGCAGUUCGGAGGUAAAGCCUCCGUGAUGGCGAGAGACUGCAUCAGACCCAACGCUUCAUCUAAGAGACGGCUGGUUUUGAUUAACUCUGUCCUCACAAAUAUGGUUCUCAAUAUGCUUUCUUUCUUCCAACUCCCAAAAGGGGUCCUGCAAAGACUGGACUAUUUUAGAUCUAGAUUCUUUUGGCAAGGAGAUGGUGAAAAGAAAAAAUAUAGACUGGCCAAAUGGAGUGUGGUUUGUAGGCCUAAAGACCAAGGUGGCCUUGGAAUUCAUGACAUGCAAAUCAAGAAUGAGGCCCUACUUAGUAAAUGGUUGUUUAAACUUCCUACUGAGGAUGGUGUUUGGCAAACCAUGUUGCGCAACAAGUAUCUAGGCCAAAAGGCAAAGUCUCAGGCAUAUUGGACACCUGGCGACUCGCACUUUUGGGCUGGCCUAAUUGCGGCAAAGAAACAUCUCUUUCGCUUUGGGUAUUUCGCGAUAAGGGACGGGUCGGAGGUUCGUUUCUGGGAAGACAUCUGGCUAGGCAAUGCCAGUCUUCGAGAACAAUAUCCAGCCCUGUACAACAUUGCUCACGAAAAGAAUAAUACUAUUGCGCAAGUGCUCAGUUCAUCCCCACCUAAUAUUUCGUUUAGGCAGGAUUUGAUUGGCCCCCGACUUAUGUCAUGGCACAAUCUUUUAUCCUCUAUGGUUUCGAUUAAUAUUAGACAAGGCCGGGAUGUGAUUCACUGGAACCUUACUACAUCAGGGUCAUUCACAGUAGACUCUAUGUACCGUGCACUCAUGCAUUCUGAGGUACCGGUGAGUAACAAUAAGAAAAUCUGGAAGUCGAAGAUUCCACUAGAAGUUAAAAUCUUCAUGUGGUAUCUUCGUAGGGGAGUUGUUCUAACCAAAGACAACCUCGCAUGACGCAACUGGCUAGGGAGUAAGAAGUGUUGUUUUUGUACUCAUGAAGAUACAAUCAAACACCUCUUUUUCCAAUGCAAGUUUGCACGUACUACAUGGUCAAUCAUCUAAAUAGCGUCAAAUUUGUAUCCGCCCACAAGUGUCACCAAUAUUUUUGGUCAUUGGUUGGACGGUAUUCCAAAUAGAUUCAAAAAUGCUAAUAUGGGUGGGAGCAUACGCCUUACUAUGGUCGCUUUGGCUAUGUAGAAAUGAUUUGGUUUUCAAUGAUAAAAUGCUUCUCCUUUGUAGGUUAUUUUUCGUUGUACGCACUCGCUUCGUACGUGGUCUACGCUACAACAAGUGGAGUACCAACCGCUGUUCAAGGCGGUGUGUACGCGGUUGGAGCAGGUGGCUACGGUGGUUUUUACCCAACAUGGGUGGCAGCAUAAUCUCUGGAUCGGUCCACCAUCCCUUGCGACAUAGGCAUAGUGUCGAUCUAUAGGACUCUACUAUCGCCGAUUUGUCGUUUUUUUUUCAUUCAUUUUGUCAGACUUUCCGUGUUGGGCUGUGUGCAUCCUAGUUAUGCAGAGGCCGGGUGUUACUCAUAAUGUUUUGUAUCCGCUUGAUGCUACAUUUCGAGAUAAUAAAAGUGCCCUUUAUCGAAAAAAGAGCGGGAGCGGGAACCGCGGGUCUGCCGCGAUGUGUUCGGCUUGGAGCACCUGAUCGGAUCUGCUAAGUGCAGACCUCGGCAGCUCGAAGCGGUUGCCCAGAGCCAGGUUUAAGCCUGCGUUUGGGUCUUUGGAAGGAAGUUCGAUAAGGGGAAGAAGUCCGGCGGGCUUUACACUCUCGUCUUCGAAUGAUGAGACCUGUCCCAGAUCUAAGGCUGAGGUGAGUGCUGGUGUUGACCCCUGGACUAGAUCCGACAAGGGGAUCCGAAGAGUCUUCUUGGAUGGGAUGCGGAGUGGCGGCCGAGGCCGCGAACCCAUCCAAGACCAAGUCUCCUCGAAUAUCAGCAACAUAAUUCAGGUUUCCAAACCUCAUCUAGUGUCCGGGGUGUAACUAUCGACCAUCUCAAAGCACAAAGCCACCGAACAGAAAAAUCUGUCCAGGAAGAAAAAUCUCCUUGGACGCAGUGUCACCAUUGACGAAGAGGCGAGCCAUUGAUCCUUCUGUCGACGAUACAGUGGAGCUCUCAAUGAAAGCACCAAUAUUGGUGUCAAAACCGGCAGAUCUCGGGUAGGGGGGCCCAAGUUGUGUGUCUGAGGAUCAAUAGUAACAAUGGAGAAUGGAUACAGUGUUACCUAGGUUCGGGACCUCUUAAUGGAGGUAAAACCCUACUCCUUCUUGAUUAUAUUCGAGGGUAUAGGGGUUAGAAGAGUUGAUCUACCACGAGAUCGAUUCGGCUAACCUUAGAUAGCUAGCCUAGCAAUGUUAUGCUCCUGCCUCCGACCUACCCUCCGAUUUAUAUAGACAUCGAAAGGGCUUAGGGUUGUACAAAGUCGGUUUUACAUAAAGGAAUAAGAUAUCCGGACACCUAUACUUGCCAUCCACGCAUGUGAGAGUCCCUACGGGACACGAGGGAUAAUCUUCCAUCUUGUAUCUUGACGGCUCAUCAGUCCGGCCCACAUCAAUAGACCGGACGCCUGAGGACCCCCUAAUCCAGGACUCCCACAAUGAGGAGGAGGGGGCCGGGGUCCUCGCUAUUUAAAGGAGGCCGGUGGGUGCUGCUUGCGGGAGGGGGCGAGGGCUGUUGGAAAUAUGCCCUAGAGGCAAUAAUAAAAGUAUUAUUAUAUUUCAAUGUUCAUGAUAAAUGUCUUUUAUUCAUGCUAUAACUGUAUUAUCCGGAAAUCGUAAUACACGUGUGAAUACUUAGACCACAAUAUGUCCCUGGUGAGCCUCUAGUUGACCAGCUCGUUGUGAUCAACAGAUAGUCAUGGUUUCCUGACUAUGGACAUUGGAUGUCGUUGAUAACGGGAUCACAUCAUUAGGAGAAUGAUGUGAUGGACAAGACCCAAUCCUAAGCAUAGCAUAAAAGAUCGUGUAGUUCGUUUUGCUAGAGCUUUGCUAGUGUCAAGUAUCUCUUCCUUCGACCAUGAGAUCGUGUAACUCCCGGAUACCGUAAGAGUGCCUUGGGUGUAUCAAACGUCACAACGUAACUGGGUGACUAUAAAGGUGCAUUACAGGUAUCUCCGAAAGUAUCUGUUGGGUUGACACGGAUCGAGACUGGGAUUUGUCACUCCGUAUGACGGAGAGGUAUCUCUGGGCCCACUCGGUAAUGCAUCAUCAUAAUGAGCUCAAUGUGACCAAGGUGUUGGACACGGGAUCAUGCAUUACGGUACGAGUAAAGUGACUUGCCGGUAACGAGACUGAACAAGGUAUUGGGAUACCGACGAUCGAGUCUCGGGCAAGUAACGUACCAAUUGACAAAGGGAAUUGCAUACAGGGUUUGAUCGAAUCCUCGACAUAGUGGUUCAUCCGAUGACAACAUCGAGGAGCAUGUGGGAGCCAUCAUGGGUAUCCAGAUCCCGCUGUUGGUUAUUGACUGAGAGCGUCUCGGUCAUGUCGGCAUGUCUCCCGAACCCGUAGGGUCUACACACUUAAGGUUCGGUGACGCUAGGGUUAUUAGGAAGACUAGUAUGUGACUACCGAAUGUCGUUCGGAGUCCCGGAUGGGAUCCUGGACGUCACGAGGAGAUCCGGAAGGGUCCGGAGGUAAAGAUUUAUAUAUGGGAAGUUGUCAAACGGACACCGGGAAGUUUCGGGGUCAUACCGGUAUUGUACCGGGGCCACCGGAAGGGUUCCGGGGGUCCACCGGGAGGGGCCACCCCUCCCGGGGGGGCACAUGGGCUGCGUGGGGCAGGGAGCCAGCCCCUGGUGGGCUGGCCGCACCCCCCUCCCUUGGGCCCAUGCGCCUAGGGUUGAGGGGGAACCCUAGAGGGGGCGCCCCCCUUGGCUUGGGGGGCAAGCCACCCUCUCCCCUCUCCCCUAGGCCGCCGCACCCCCCCUAGAUGGGUUCUAGGGGGCCGGCCCCCUUCUCCCUUCCCCCUAUAAAUAGAGGGGUGAGGGGAGGGCAGCCGUACCACCCUCCAAGGCGCAGCCCUCCCCUCCCCAACACCUCUCCUCCUCCGUUGUGUGCUUGGCGAAGCCCUGUCGGAGUACUGCCUCUCCACCAUCACCACGCCGUCGUGCUGCCGGUGGAGCUGUCUUCCUCAACCUCUCCUUCCCCUUGCUGGAUCAAGAAGGAGGAGACGUCUCCCGUCCCGUACGUGUGUUGAACGCGGAGGUGCUGUCCGUUCAGCACUUGGUCAUCGGUGAUUCGAAUCACGUCGAGUACGACUACAUCAUCACCUUGCAAGCUUCCGCACACGAUCUACAAGUGGUAUGUAGAUGCAAACUCUCUCCCUUGACUCGUUGCUUAGAAGAACUCAUAGAUGGAUCUUGGUGAAACCGUAGGAAAAAUUUUAAUUUUUUGCAACGUUCCCCAACAGUGGCAUCAUGAGCUAGGUCUAUGCGUAGUUCUCUUUGCACGAGUAGAACACAAUUUUGUUGUGGGCGUGGAUUUUGUCAUCUUACUUGCCUCUACUAGUCUUUUCUUGCUCAACGGUAUUGUGGGAUGAAGCGGCCCGGACCAACCUUACACGUACGCUUACGUGAGACCGGUUCCACCGACUGACAUGCACUAGUUGCAUAAGGUGGCUGGCGGGUGUCUGUCUCUCCCACUUUAGUUGGAGCGGAAUCGAUGAACAGGGCCCUUAUGAAGGGUAAAUAGAAGUUGACAAAAUCACGUUGUGGUGAUUCGUAGGUAAGAAAACGUUCUUGCUAGAACCCAAUUGCAGCCACGUAAAAGAUGCAACAACAAUUAGAAGACGUCUAACUUGUUUUUGCAGCGAUUGAUCAUGUGAUGUGAUAUGGCCAGAAGUUGUGAUGAAUGAUGAAUUGUGAUGUAUGAGAUCAUGUUCUUUGUAAUAGGAUUCACGACUUGCAUGUCGAUGAGUAUGACAACCGGCAGGAGCCAUAGGAGUUGUCUUUAUUUUUUGUAUGACCUGCGUGUCAUUGAAUAACGUCAUGUAAACUACUUUACUUUAUUGCUAAACGUUAGUCAUAGAAGUAGAAGUAGUCGUUGGCGUGACAACUUCAUGAAGACACGAUGAUGGAGAUCAUGAUGAUGGAGAUCAUGGUGUCAAGCCGGUGACAAGAUGAUCAUGGAGCCCCGAAGAUGAAGAUCAAUGGAGCUAUAUGAUAUUGGCCAUAUCAUGUCACAACUAUAUAAUUGCAUGUGAUGUUUAUUAUGUUUUGCAUCUUGUUUACUUAGGACGACGGUAGUAAAUAAGAUGAUCCCUUACAAAAUUUUUCAAGAAGUGUUCUCCCCUAACUGUGCACCGUUGCUACAGUUCGUCGCUUCUAAGCACCACGUGAUGAUCGGGUGUGAUGGAUUCUUACGUUCACAUACAACGGGUGUAAGACAGUUUUACACAGCGAAAACACUUAGGGUUAACUUGACGAGCCUAGCAUGUGCAGACAUGGACUCGGAACACGGAGACCGAAAGGUCGAACACGAAUGGUAUGGAAGAUACGAUCAACAUGAGAAUGUUCACCGACGAUGACUAGUCCGUCUCACGUGAUGAUCGGACACGGGUUAGUCGACUCGGAUCGUGUAACACUUAGAUGACUAGAGGGAUGUCUAAUCUAAGUGGGAGUUCAUAAUUUGAUUAGAACUUUAUUAUCAUGAACUUAGUCUAAAACCUUUGCAAAUAUGUCUUGUAGAUCAAUGCCCAACGCUAAUGUCAACAUGAACUUCAACGCGUUCCUAGAGAAAACCAAGCUGAAAGAUGAUGGCAGCAACUAUACGGACUGGGUCCGGAACCUGAGGAUCAUCCUCAUAGCUGCCAGGAAACAAUAUGUCCUAGAAGGACCGCUAGGUGACGCUCCCGUCCCAGAGAACCAAGACAUUAUGAAUGCUUGGCAGUCUCGUGCUGAUGAUUACUCCCUCGUUCAGUGCGGCAUGCUUUACAGCUUAGAACCGGGGCUCCAAAAGUGUUUUGAGCACCACGGAGCAUAUGAGAUGUUCGAAGAGUUGAAACUAGUUUUUCAAGCUCAUGCCCGGGUCGAGAGAUAUGAUGUCUCCGACAAGUUCUACAGUUGUAAGAUGGAGGAAAACAGUUCUGUCAGUGAGCACAUCCUGAAGAUGUCUGGGUUGCACAACCGUAUGACCCAGCUGAACAUUAACCUCCCAGAUGAGGCGGUCAUUGACAGAAUCCUCUAGUCGCUCCCACCAAGCUACAAGAGCUUUGUGAUGAACUACAACAUGCAGGGGAUGGAAAAGACCAUUCCUGAAGUGUUCUCGAUGCUGAAGUCAGCAGAGGAUGAAAUCAAGAAAGAACAUCAAGUGUUGAUGGUCAAUAAGACCACUAAGUUCAAGAAGGGCAAGGGUAAGAAGAACUUCAAGAAGGACGGCAAGGAGGUUGCCGCGCCUGGUAAGCCAGUUACCGGGAAGAAGUCAAAGAAUGGACCUAAGCCUGAGACUGAGUGCUUUUAUUGCAAGGGGAAGGGUCACUGGAAGCGGAACUGCCCCAAAUACUUAGCGGAUAAGAAGGCCGGCAACACCAAAGGUAUAUUUGAUAUACAUGUGAUUGAUGUGUACCUUACCAGUACUCGUAGUAACUCCUGGGUAUUUGAUACCGGUGUCGUUGCUCAUAUUUGUAACUCACAGCAGGAGCUGCGGAAUAAACGGAGACUGGCGAAGGACGAGGUGACGAUGCGCGUCGGGAAUGGUUCCAGAGUCGAUGUGAUCGCCGUCGGCACGCUGCCUCUACAUUUACCUACGGGAUUGGUUUUGAACCUUAAUAAUUGUUAUUUAGUGCCAAGUUUGAGCAUGAAUAUUGUAUCUGGAUCUCGUUUAAUACGAGAUGGCUACUCAUUUAAGUCUGAGAAUAAUGGUUGUUUGAUUUAUAUGAGAGAUAUGUUUUAUGGUCAUGCUCCGAUGGUCAAUGGUUUAUUCUUAAUGAAUCUCGAGCGUAAUAUUACACAUGUUCAUAGUGUAGAUGCCAAAAGAUUUAAAGUUGAUAACGAUAGUCCCACAUACUUGUGGCACUGCCGCCUUGGUCACAUUGGUGUCAAGCGCAUGAAGAAGAUCCAUGCCGAUGGACUUUUAGAGUCUCUAGAUUAUGAAUCGUUUGACACGUGCGAACCAUGCCUUUUGGGCAAAAUGACCAAGACUCCGUUCUCCAGAACAAUGGAGCGAGCAACCAACUUGUUGGAAAUCAUACAUACCGAUGUGUGCGGUCCAAUGAGCGUUGAGGCUCGCAGAGGAUAUCGUUAUGUUCUCACUCUCACUGAUGACUUGAGUAGAUAUGGGUAUGUCCACUUAAUGAAACACAAGUCUGAGACCUUUGAAAAGUUCAAGGAAUUUCAGAAUGAGGUAGAGAAUCAACGUGACCGAAAGAUAAAAUUCUUACGAUCAGAUCGUGGAGGAGAGUACUUAAGUCACGAAUUUGGUACACACUUAAGGAAAUGUGGAAUCGUUUCACAGCUCACGCCGCCCGGAACACCUCAGCGAAACGGUGUGUCCGAACGUCGUAAUCGCACCCUAUUGGAUAUGGUGCGGUCUAUGAUGUCUCUUACCGAUUUACCGCUAUCAUUUUGGGGAUACGCUCUAGAGACAGCUACAUUCACUUUAAAUAGGGCACCGUCUAAAUCCGUUGAGACGACACCGUAUGAAUUAUGGUUUGGAAAGAAACCUAAGCUGUCGUUUCUAAAAGUUUGGGGAUGCGAUGCUUAUGUCAAGAAACUUCAACCUGAAAAGCUCGAACCCAAGUCGGAAAAAUGCGUAUUCAUAGGAUACCCUAAGGAAACUGUAGGGUAUACCUUCUACUUAAGAUCCGAAGGCAAGAUCUUUGUUGCCAAGAACGGAUGCUUUCUGGAAAAAGAGUUUCUCUCGAAAGAAGUAAGUGGGAGGAAAGUAGAACUCGAUGAAGUACUACCUCUUGAGCGGGAAAGUGGCGCAGCGCAGGAAACCGUUCCUGUGAUGCCCACACCAACUGAAGAGGAAAACAAUGAUGAUGAUCAAGGUACUUCGGAUCAAGUUACUGCUGAACUUCGUAGGUCCACAAGGACACGUUCCGCACCAGAGUGGUACGGCAACCCUGUCCUGGAAAUCAUGUUGUUAGACAACAAUGAACCUUCGAACUAUGAAGAAGCGAUGGCGGGCCCGGAUUCCAACAAAUGGCUUGAAGCCAUGAAAUCCGAGAUAGAAUCCAUGUAUGAAAACAAAGUACGGACUUUGACAGACUUGCCCGAUGAUCGGCGAGCGAUAGAAAACAAAUGGAUUUUUAAGAAGAAGACGGACGCGGAUGGAAAUGUUACCAUCUAUAAGGCUCGACUUGUCGCUAAGGGUUAUCGACAAGUUCAAGGGAUUGACUACGACGAGACUUUCUCUCCCGUAGCGAAGCUGAAGUCUGUCCGAAUCAUGUUAGCAAUUGCCGCAUACUAUGAUUAUGAGAUAUGGCAGAUGGACGUCAAAACAGCAUUCCUUAACGGGCAUCUUAAGGAAGAACUGUAUAUGAUGCAGCCAGAAGGUUUUGUCGAUCCUCGGAACGCUAACAAAGUAUGCAAGCUCCAGCGAUCCAUUUAUGGACUGGUGCAAGCAUCUCGGAGUUGGAACAUUCGCUUUGAUGAGAUGAUCAAAGCGUUUGGGUUUAUGCAGACUUAUGGAGAAGCCUGCGUUUACAAGAAAGUGAGUGGGAGCUCUGUAGCAUUUCUCAUAUUAUAUGUAGAUGACAUACUCUUGAUGGGAAAUAAUAUAGAAUUUCUGGACAGCAUUAAGGCCUACUUGAAUAAGUGUUUUUCAAUGAAGGACCUUGGAGAAGCUGCUUAUAUAUUAGGCAUCAAGAUCUAUAGAGAUAGAUCAAGACGCCUCAUAGGUCUUUCACAAAGCACAUACCUUGAUAAGAUUUUGAAGAGGUUCAAAAUGGAUCAGUCCAAGAAGGGGUUCUUGCCUAUGUUACAAGGUGUGAGAUUGAGCUCGGCUCAGUCACCGACCACGACAAAAGAUAAAGAAGAGAUGAGUGUCAUCCCCUAUGCUUCAGCCAUAGGAUCUAUUAUGUAUGCCAUGCUGUGUACCAGACCCGAUGUAAACCUUGCCGUAAGUUUGGUAGCAAGAUACCAAAGUAAUCCCGGCAAGGAACACUGGACAGCGGUCAAGAAUAUCCUGAAGUACCUGAAAAGGACGAAGGACAUGUUUCUCGUUUAUGGAAGAGACGAAGAGCUCGUCGUAAAGGGUUGCGUCGACGCUAGCUUCGACUCAGAUCUGGAUGACUCUAAGUCACAAACCGGAUACGUGUAUAUGUUGAAUGGUGGAGCAGUAAGCUGGUGCAGCUGCAAGCAGAGCGUCGUGGCGGGAUCUACGUGUGAAGCGGAGUACAUGGCAGCCUCGGAGGCAGCGCAUGAAGCGAUUUGGGUGAAGGAGUUCAUCACCGACCUAGGAGUCAUACCCAAUGCGUUGGGGCCGAUCAAACUCUUCUGUGACAACACUGGAGCUAUUGCCCUCGCCAAGGAGCCCAGGUUUCACAAGAAGACCAGGCACAUCAAGCGUCGUUUCAACUCCAUCCGUGAAAAUGUUCAAGAUGGAGACAUAGAGAUUUGCAAAGUGCACACGGAUCUCAAUGUCGCAGAUCCGCUGACUAAACCUCUCUCGCGUGCAAAACAUGAUCAACACCAGAACUCUAUGGGUGUUCGAUUCAUCACAAUGUAACUAUAUUGGUGACUCUAGUGCAAGUGGGAGACUGUUGGAAAUAUGCCCUGGAGGCAAUAAUAAAAGUAUUAUUAUAUUUCAAUGUUCAUGAUAAAUGUCUUUUAUUCAUGCUAUAACUGUAUUAUCCGGAAAUCGUAAUACACGUGUGAAUACUUAGACCACAAUAUGUCCCUGGUGAGCCUCUAGUUGACCAGCUCGUUGUGAUCAACAGAUAGUCAUGGUUUCCUGACUAUGGACAUUGGAUGUCGUUGAUAACGGGAUCACAUCAUUAGGAGAAUGAUGUGAUGGACAAGACCCAAUCCUAAGCAUAGCAUAAAAGAUCGUGUAGUUCGUUUUGCUAGAGCUUUGCCAGUGUCAAGUAUCUCUUCCUUCGACCAUGAGAUCGUGUAACUCCCGGAUACCGUAAGAGUGCCUUGGGUGUAUCAAACGUCACAACGUAACUGGGUGACUAUAAAGGUGCAUUACAGGUAUCUCCGAAAGUAUCUGUUGGGUUGACACGGAUCGAGACUGGGAUUUGUCACUCCGUAUGACGGAGAGGUAUCUCUGGGCCCACUCGGUAAUGCAUCAUCAUAAUGAGCUCAAUGUGACCAACGUGUUGGACACGGGAUCAUGCAUUACGGUACGAGUAAAGUGACUUGCCGGUAACGAGACUGAACAAGGUAUUGGGAUACCGACGAUCGAGUCUCGGGCAAGUAACGUACCAAUUGACAAAGGGAAUUGCAUACAGGGUUUGAUCGAAUCCUCGACAUAGUGGUUCAUCCGAUGACAACAUCGAGGAGCAUGUGGGAGCCAUCAUGGGUAUCCAGAUCCCGCUGUUGGUUAUUGACUGAGAGCGUCUCGGUCAUGUCGGCAUGUCUCCCGAACCCGUAGGGUCUACACACUUAAGGUUCGGUGACGCUAGGGUUAUUAGGAAGACUAGUAUGUGACUACCGAAUGUUGUUCGGAGUCCCGGAUGGGAUCCUGGACGUCACGAGGAGAUCCGGAAGGGUCCGGAGGUAAAGAUUUAUAUAUGGGAAGUUGUCAAACGGACACCGGGAAGUUUCGGGGUCAUACCGGUAUUGUACCGGGGCCACCGGAAGGGUUCCGGGGGUCCACCGGGAGGGGCCACCCCUCCCGGGGGGCCACAUGGGCUGCGUGGGGCAGGGAGCCAGCCCCUGGUGGGCUGGCCGCACCCCCCUCCCUUGGGCCCAUGCGCCUAGGGUUGAGGGGGAACCCUAGAGGGGGCGUCCCCCUUGGCUUGGGGGGCAAGCCACCCUCUCCCCUCUCCCCUAGGCCGCCGCACCCCCCCUAGAUGGGUUCUAGGGGCCGGCCCCCUUCUCCCUUCCCCCUAUAAAUAGAGGGGUGAGGGGAGGGCAGCCGUACCACCCUCCAAGGCGCAGCCCUCCCCUCCCCAACACCUCUCCUCCUCCGUUGUGUGCUUGGCGAAGCCCUGUCGGAGUACUGCCUCUCCACCAUCACCACGCCGUCAUGCUGCCGGUGGAGCUGUCUUCCUCAACCUCUCCUUCCCCCUUGCUGGAUCAAGAAGGAGGAGACGUCUCCCGUCCCGUACGUGUGUUGAACGCGGAGGUGCUGUCCGUUCAGCACUUGGUCAUCGGUGAUUCGAAUCACGUCGAGUACGACUACAUCAUCACCUUGCAAGCUUCCGCACGCGAUCUACAAGUGGUAUGUAGAUGCAAACUCUCUCCCUUGACUCGUUGCUUAGAAGAACUCAUAGAUGGAUCUUGGUGAAACCAUAGGAAAAAUUUUAAUUUUCUGCAACGUUCCCCAACAAGGGCGAGGCGGCGGCGGAUCCCGUGGCGGCGGCGGACUCCGGCGGGAGUCUGGCUCGGAGACGAUGCGUCGGCGGCCUGGGCUGGCUGGGCUGGGCGCGGCCCAGUUCGGUCAGCCCGAACAUGUUUUUUUAAACAAUUUUUCCAGAGACAAAAACACACUAAAAAAUAUAAAUAAUAUCCUAAAAAUUCCAGAAAAAAUCACGUAGUAAUAUGGCCUUAUUAUUGACCUACUGAACAUUUUUCUGGGCCUAAAUGCCUAAACUAAAAACAAAUAUUACAGUAGUAAUUACUUUGCUAACUAAUAAAUAAACUAGCAAAUAAAAUCAAAUAAAGUCUCCAAAAAUUCAAAAUUCAAUUUCCAAUAUUUCUUUGCUGAUUUUGAAGAAGUCAUUUUAUCUUCUCUCUUUAUUUUAAAAUAAUUGGAAAAGAAUUUUGAAAAAACAAUUUGAUCCAAUUUACCAAAUUUUGAUAAAUCAACUUUAGAUUUUUGUGAAUCCUCCAACUCUCUCAAAUUGGUCCUUGAGUUGCUUAAGGCCUCUUGGAUCAAAAUGCAACUAAAAUAAAGCAACAAAAUGCAUAAAUCAUGGAUGCAUAUGAAUGAUCUAUGAAUAACAUCCAAAUUGAAAAUUGGGAUGUUAAAUAAAUCGGUCAAUAUGCCUAUAAACUGGCCGAUUUACCACUUAUCAUGGGUUGACCAAUAAGUUCACGAUAAGCGAUAUCCCCAACACUGAAAAAUGCACACAGGGGAAGAAGAAAUAUGCAAACAUCAACCAACAUAGAUGAUAAAAAAAGUGCGCAUGGGAAAGGCAGAAAUACACAAAUAUGCAACCAGAACAAAAAAACCUAGAAUAGAGUAAAUUAUAGCUAACACUGAAUUGAGGCGCAACACACUUAGCAAAGAUUCAAUUGCGAUGGAGAAUCAUGCAUGUAUCAUGACAGAACAGGAAGUUGAUACAUCUAUACGACAAGGACUGCAUGGUUAGCACACACACACAAAUCCUUAGACGCUAGGCGAAGUAUACGACAUUAUCAUUGUGUGAUAUCAGUAACUCAACAUAAGCGUUGUGUGUGUGAUUUUUCAUUAUCAACACAAUGAUUAAUUUACAGGUGAGAUAUGCAUUGUCACUAUAUAUUGACGGUCUAAUGUACAACAUCAUAUUGAAGUCAGACAAAAGCAUCAUGUGCACUCUUACUUCAAAAAUCCUUUGGAUUAGUAACUAAACUCUUAGAGAAUGUGCUUCAAAGUCGAGAAAAUGCACUCGACGAAAGUCCUCCAUGCACCCCUCUCUUCAACCACUGCCCCUCCACCUUGUAGCAACACAUAGGUGAUAACCCACAAGUAUAGGGGAUCACAACAGUUUUCGAGGGUAGAGUAUUCAACCCAAAUUUAUUGCUUCGACACAAGGGGAGCCAAAGAAUAUUCUCAAGUAUUAGCAGUUGAGUUGUCAAUUCAACCACAACUGGAAACUUAGUAUCUACAGCAAAGUGUUUAGUAGCAAAGUAAUAUGAUAGUGGUGGUAACGGUAACAAAAGUAAAGACAGCAAAAGUAAUGUUUUUGGUAUUUUGUAGUGAUUGUAACAGUAGCAACGGAAAAGUAAAUAAGCUAGAACCAGUAUAUGGAAAACUCGUAGGCACCGGAUUAGUGAUGGAUAAUUAUGCUGGAUGCGGUUCGUCAUGUAACAGUCAUAACAUGGGGUGACACAGAACUUGCUCCAAUUCAUCAAUGUAAUGUAGGCAUGUAUUCCGUAUAUAGUCAUACGUGCUUAUGGAAAAGAACUUGCAUGACAUCUUUUGUCCUACCCUCCCGUGGUAGAGGGGUCCUAUUGGAAACUAAGGGAUAUUAAGGCCUCCUUUUAAUAGAGAAUCGGAACAAAGCAUUAGCACAUAGUGAAUACAUGAACUCCUCAAACUAUGGUCAUCACCGGGAGUGGUCCCGAUUAUUGUCACUUCGGGGUUGCCGGAUCAUAACACAUAGUAGGUGACUAUAGACUUGCAAGAUAGGAUCAAGGACUCACAUAUAUUCAUGAAAACAUAAUAGGUUUAGAUCUGAAAUCAUGGCACUCGGGCCCUAGUGACAAGCAUUAAGCAUAGCAAAGUCAUAGCAACAUCAAUCUCAGAACAUAGUGGAUACUAGGGAUCAAACCCUAACAAAACUAACUCGAUUACAUGAUAAAUCUCAUCCAACCCAUCACCGUCCAGCAAGCCUAUGAUGGAAUUACUCACGCACAGCAGUGAGCAUCAUGAAAUUGGUGAUGGAGGAUGGUUGAUGAUGACGACGACGACGAAUCCCCCUCUCCGGAGCCCUGAACGGACUCCAGAUCAGCCCUCCCAAGAGAGAUUACGGCUUGGCGGCGGCUCCGUAUCGUAAAACGCGAUGAUUUCUUCUCUCUGAUUCUUUUUCUCCCCGAAAGCCAAUAUAUGGAGUUGGAGUUGGCGUCAGAGGGCCACCAGGGGGGCCACGAGGUAGGGGGGCGCGCCCUAGGGGGGCGCCCCCCACCCUCGUGAACAGGGUGUGGCCCCCCUGGCCUUCAUCUUUGGCAAGGAUUUUUUAUUAUUUUUUCUAAGACGUUUCGUGGAGUUUCAGGUCAUUCCGAGAACUUUUAUUUUCUGCACAUAAAACAACACCGUGGCAAUUCUGCUGAAAACAGCGUCAGUCCGGGUUAGUUCCAUUCAAAUCAUACAAGUUAGAGUCCAAAACAAGGGCAAAAGUGUUUGGAAAAGUAGAUACGACGGAGACGUAUCAACUCCCCCAAGCUUAAACCCUUGUUUGUCCUCAAGCAAUUCAGUUGACAAACUAAAAGAGAAAAAGAAAAACUUUUACAAAUUUUGUUUGCUCUUGUUGUUGUAAACAUGAAAAGCCAGCAUUCAAGUUUCAACAAAUAUUAUGAACUAACUAUACUAACAAUAACACAUAGGUCUCACAAUUACUCAUAUCAAUAGCAUAAUCAGCUUGCGAGCUAUAAUAAUAAAACUCGGAUGACAACACUUUCUCAAAAUAAUCAUAACAUGAUAUAACAAAAUGGUAUCUCGCUAGUCCUUUCCGAGACCGCAAAACAUAAAUGCAGAGCACCUUUAAAGAUCAAGAACUGACUAAACAUUGUAAUUCAUGGUAAAAGAGAUCCAGUCAAGUCAUACCCAAUAUAAACCAAUAAUAAUGAAUGCAAACGACAGUGUGCUCUCCAGCGGGUGCUUUGAAUAAGAAGGAUGAUGACUCAACAUAAAAGUAAAUGGAUAGGCCCUUCACAGAGGGAAGCGGGGAUUUGUAGAGGUGCUAGAGCUCGGUUUUGAAAUAGAGAUAAAUUAUAUUUUGAGCGGCAUACUUUCAUUGUCAACAUAACAACUAAGAGACGACGAUAUCUUCCAUGCUAAACAAAUUAUAGGCGGUUCCCAAACAGAAUGGUAAAGUUUAUACUCCCCCUCCUCCACAAGCAUCAAUCCAUGGCUUGCUCGAAACAACGAGUGCCUCCAACAUUCAACGGGUCCCAGGGGGAGUUUUGUUUGCAAUUACUUUGAUUUAGUUUGCAUAAAGCAUGGGACUGGGCAUCCCGGAGACCAGCCAUUUUCUCGUGAAUGAGGAGCGGAGUCCACUCCUCUUGAGAAUAACCCGCCUAACACAGAAGAUAAGGGCAGCCCUAGUUGACAUAUGAGCUAUUCGAGCAUGCAAACAGAAUGUUUAUUUGAAGGUUCAGAGUUGUGCACAUACAAAUUUACUUGGAACGGCAGGUAAAUACCGCAUAUAGGUAGGUAUAGUGGACUCAUAUGGAACAACUUUGGGGUUUAAGGAGUUGGAUGCACAAGCAGUAUUCCCGCUUAGUACAGGUGAAGGCUAGCAAAAGACUGGGAAGCGACCAAUUGAGAGAGCGACAACCGUCGUAAACAUGCAUUAAAAUUAAUUUACACCGAAUACAAGCAUGAGUAGGAUAUAAUCUACCAUGAACAUCAAUAUCAUGAAGGGUACUACAUGCGUGAACAUGUGCCAAGUCUAGUCACUCAAUUCAUUUAAAGGAGGAUACCAUCCCAUCAUACCACAUCAUAAUCAUUCUAAUAGCAUGUUGGCACGCAAGGUAAACCAUUAUAACUCAUAUCUAAUCAAGCAUGGCACAAGAAACUACAAUCUCUAAAUGUCAUUGCAAAUAUGUUUACUUCAUAAUAGCUGACUCAGGAACGAUGAGUCAUCAUAUUUACAAAAACAAGAGAGGUCGAGUUCAUACCAGCUUUUCUCAUCCCAAUAAGUCCAUCAUAUAUGAUCAUUAUUGUGUUUCACGUGCACGACCGAACGAUGUGUAUAAUAAUAAGAGUGCACAUGCAUUGGACUAAGAUGGAAUCUGCAAGCAUUCAACUCAAGAGAGAAGACAAGUAAUAUGGGCUCUGAGUUAAAUAAACAAUCAUGCAUAUAAGAGCCACUAAGCAAUUUAAUCAUGGUCUUCUCCUACCGACCCCCAAAGAAAAGAAAAGAAAUAAAAACUAUUUACACGGGAAAGCUCCCAACAAGAAAAAGAAGAACGAGAAAUAUUUUUGGGUUUUCUUUUUAAUUACUACAAGAAAGAAAUAAACCACUACUAAUUUUUUGGUUUUUUUCUUAAGGUUUAUUAAAGGGACAUUUACAUCUGUGCCCCUAACUCGAACCCACUACUCAGAUUUGCCCCUAAUUUUAAAGCAUGCUCAAAUUUGCCCCUCCGCCGUUAAGUCACUACUCAGAAAUGCCCUUCCGUACAGUACUGUAGCACUUUCCGUCCAAUACUGUAGCACUUUCCGUCUGCUAUAGUACACAUGGGCCUUUGACAGUCAAAGGCCUUUGACUGGACGGAAGGGCAUUUCUGAGUAGUGACUUAACGGCAGAGGGGCAAAUUUGAGCAUGCUUUGAAAUUAGGGGCAAAUCUGAGUAGGUGGUUCGAGUUAGGGGCAGAAAUGCAAAUGGCCCUUCAUUAAACACACAAGAAGAAAGCAGGAAAAAGAAAAUAAACUAGCAUCGAUAUUACAGUGAAAGAGUAUGAGCACCGACGUCUAGCAAUGAGUGUGUGUGAAUAUGAAUGUAAUGUCGGUGGGAAAUAUGUACUCCCCCAAGCUUAGGCUUUUGGCCUAAGUUGGUCUAUUGCCAGGGAUAGCCUGGCGGAUACCCGUAGGUCUAGCUGGGGUCGUACUGUGACAAAGAAGGCUCCGACUGCCACAGGCUGGCAACCUCCUCUGGAUCCCAAGAAUAAACAGAUAGUCGUGGAGGCUCAUCUUGUGGCUCCGGUUCCGGGGCUGGUGUAGGAUUCCGAUAGACUUGAGCGGCCGACCACGGAAUGAUGUGAGGACCUGCAGAUAAGUUAAACAAAGAAGGAGCAGGCAAAGUAAUAGUCUCAGGGUGAUGUUUAUCAAAGUAUAAUUUAUAUUUGAGCUCCCCUUCACGACUCUUAACAAGAAAGUCAUGUGCUAUCAUGCUCUUAUAAUCUAAAUAAGCAUGGGGCAACGAUGUUUCUUCUUUCUCCUCAUGCCUAAUAGGUAUUUCAAAAUAUUCAGCUAAGCGCGAAGCAUAAAUGCCUCCAAAGAUAGGGCCCUUAGUACGGUUCAGACUUAACCGUCUAGCAACAAUUCCACCCAUACUAACAGAGUUAUUGCGGUAUAAACCAUGGAACAAAAUAAUAAUAUUAGGAAUACUAAGGUUUCCACAGUUCCCGCGUCCAAUCAAGCAACGACUAGCAAAUAAGGCAAAGUAGCGUAAAACAGGAAAAUGUAUGCUAGUAAUCCUUGCAUCAGAAACCUUCUUGGUUUCUCCCACAUUGAUAGUGUUAAUAAAAGCUUCUACUUCGUUACAGUGUGGUUCAUCUAAGGUGCCCUCAAAGGGUAUUUUGCAAACCUCGCAAAAUUCAGCUAAUGUCAUCUCUUUAACAACGUCAUAUAAAUGAAACUCUACUGUUGGAGGUGAUUUCUUAGGGAAAAAGUAGAAGUUUUGCACAAAAGUAUUUGUGAGUAAGAGAUACUGAUGAUGUUGGUCGCGGAGGAAGUCGGUGAGGCCAGCAUUCUCAAUCAAUAAAUAGAAAUCCUCAUAAAUCCCAGCUCUCCUCAAGAAGUGAUCGGGAGGCCAUUCACACGGCCGGACCUCCGCGGUGCGAGGCAAAUUAAAUUUGGGCUUCUGUUCUUCUUCCUUUUGUUUUUCCUUCGAGCUUCGGCUCGACGAGCCCCUCAAAAGUCUCUUCAUUAUUUUCUGAAAUAAUCUGAAAUUUUUAGUAACUUCAAAUAAAAGUGAACCAACUUCAAUAAAAUUGAUAGCAACAACUCCCACGAGUGCCUAGAGCCUAUAUCAAGCAUUAGAACUACUUGGAACCAAAUAAAUUUGACAUGCAAGCUCAAGAACAUGGUCACCUAUGCAACACAAAUUUGCAAUGAAUAAAGAACUAGAACAAAAACUAAUUGGACGAAUGGAGGAGUCACAUACCAAGGAACAAUCUCCCCAAGCAGUUUUGCGAGAGGUGCUUUGAGCAAGGAGAUCAAAAAUCACAGCACGGGGGAUGGAACUCGUGCUUGAGUUGGUUUUUCGUGUUUAUGUGAGGCAGAGGAAGAAGAUGGGUGUAGGAAUAAGUGGAGGAGGGCCACCAUGGGCCCACGAGGCAGGGGGCGCGCCCAGGGGGGUAGGGCGCGCCCUCCACCCUCGUGGCCAGGUGGCAGCUCCCCCGCAGUAAUUUUUGCACAGUAAAUCCUCAAAUAUUACCGAAAAAAUCAUACUAAAUUGGCAUGGCAUUCUGAGGACUUUUAUUUUCGGGAUAUUUUUAUAUUGCACGGAUAAGUUAGGAAACAGACAGAAAAAUACUAUUUUACUUUAUUUCUACUAAAUAAUAGAAAAUAUAAAAAGGGUACAGAAGGUUGUGCUUCUAGUUUCAUCCAUCUCGUGGUCAUCAAAAUGAACCCACUAACAAGGUUGAUCAAGUCUUGUUAACAAACUCAUUCCGAAUAAUCACGAAACUGGAGAAAUUUCGAAUAACACUAAGUUACCUCAACGGGGAUAUGAAAAUCCCCAACAAUAAGAAUAUCGUACUUUUUCUUGACAGUAGGGAGAGGAAAUUCAAAACCUCCAAAUAUAAUCGAUGGAAUUUUUCCAAUAGAGUUGAUACUAUAAACUUGAGGUUGUUUCCUCGGAAAGUGUAUCGUGUGCUCAUUGCCAUUAACAUGAAAAGUGACAUUGCCUUUGUUGCAAUCAAUAACAGCCCCUGCAGUAUUAAGGAAAGGUCUUCCAAGAAUAAUAGACAUACUACCAUCCUCGGGAAUAUCAAGAAUAACAAAGUCCGUUAAAAUAGUAACGUUCGCAACUACAACAGGCACAUCCUCACAAAUACCGACAGGUAUAGCGGUUGAUUUAUCAGGCAUUUGCAAAGAUAUUUCAGUAGGUGUUAACUUAUUCAAGUCAAGUCUACGAUAUAAAUAGAGAGGCAUAACACUAACACCGGCUCUAAUAUCACAUAAAGCAGUUUUAACAUAAUUUCUCUUAAUGGAGCAUGGUAUAGUAGGUACUCCUGGAUCUCCAAGUUUCUUUGGUAUUCCACCCUUAAAAGUAUAAUUAGCAAGCAUGGUGGAAAUUUCAGCUUCCGUUAUCUUUCUUUUAUUAGUAAUGAUAUCCUUCAUAUACUUAGCAUAAGGAUUUGUUUUGAGCACAUUAGUUAAUCGCAUACGCAAAAACAUGGGUCUAAUCAUUUCAGCAAAACACUCAAAAUCCUCAUCAUCCUUUUUCUUGGAUGGUUUCGGAGGAAAAGGCAAGGGCUUCUGAACCCAUGGUUCCCUUUCUUUACCAUGUUUCCUAGCAACGAAGUCUCUUUUAUCACAAUGUUGAUUCCUUGAUUGUGGGUUAUCAAGAUCAACAGCAGGUUCAACUUCUACAUCAUUAUCAUUACUAGGUUGAGCAUCAUCAUGAACAAUAUCAUUAACAUUAUCACUAGGUUCAUGUUCAUCACCUGAUUGUGUUUCAGCAUCAGAAAUAGAAAUAUCAUUUGGAUUCUCAGGUGGUUCAGCAAUAGGUUCGCUAGAAGUUUGCAAAGUCCUAUCAUUUUUCUUUUUCUUCCUUUUAGAAGAACUAGGUACAUCAAUAUUAUUUCUCUGAGAAUCUUGCUCGAUUCUCUUAGGGUGGCCUUCAGGAUACAAAGGUUCCUGAGUCAUUCUACCAAUUCUAGUAGCCACUCUAACAACAUAAUAAUUUUUCUUACUAUUCAUUUCAUCAAGCACUUCUUUCUGAGCUUUAAGUACUUGUUCUACUUGAGUGGUAACCAUAGAAGCAUGUUUGCUAACAAGUUUAAGUUCACCUCUAAUAUCAGCCAUAUAAUCACCCAAGCGUUUAAUCAUAAAGGUAUUCUGUUUUAAUUGUCUACCAAAAUAAGCAUUAAAGUCAUCUUGCUUAAACAUAAAGUCAUCAAACUCAUCCAAGCACUGACUAGCAAUUUUAGUAGGAGGGACUUCAGCUUUAUCAUAUCUAUAGAGAGAAUUUACCUUUACUACCUGUGUCGGGAUAUCAAGAUCAGGAGGUUCUUCAGUGAAUAAGGAAUUGAGAUCAUAUACUUCUUCAGCAGGCGGUAAAUUAAGACCGUGUAUUUCUUCAAUAGGAGGUAAAUUCUUAACAUCUUCGGCUCUAAUACCUUUUUCUUUCAUAGAUUUCUUUGCCUCUUGCAUAUCUUCGGGAUUGAGAAAUAGAACACCUCUCUUUUUCGGAGUUGGUUUAGAAAUAGGCUCAGUAAUUGGCUCUGGAGCUGGCUCAGGAGGUGGCUCGGGAGGUGCCCAAUUAUUUUCAUUUGUCAACAUAUUAUUCAAUAGAAUUUCAGCUUCAUCCGGUGUUCUUUCCCUGAAAAGAGAACCAGCACAACUAUCCAGGUAAUCUCUGGAAGCAUCAGUUAGUCCAUUAUAAAAGAUAUCAAGUAUUUCAGGUUUCUUAAGAGGAUGAUCAGGCAAAGCAUUAAGUAACUUGAGAAGCCUCCCCAAGCUUGUGGGAGACUCUCUUCUUCAAUUUGCACGAAGUUGUAUAUUUCCCUCAAAGCAGCUUGUUUCUUAUGAGCAGGGAAAUAUUUAGUAGAGAAGUAAUAAAUCAUAUCCUGGGGACUAUGCACACAACCAGGAUCAAGAGAAUUAAACCAUAUCUUAGCAUCACCCUUUAAUGAGAACGGAAAUAUUUUGAGUAAAUAAAGGUAGCGCGAUCUCUCAUCAUUAGUAAACAGGGCGGCUAUAUAAUUUAACUUAGUAAGAUGUGCCACAACAGUUUCAGAUUCAUAGCCAUAGAAAGGAUUAGAUUCAACCAAAGUAAUUAUAUCUGGAUCAACAGAAAAUUCAUAAUAAUCCUUAUCGGGAACACAGAUAGGUGAAGUAGCAAAAGCAGGGUCAGGUCUCAUCCUAUCUCUAAGAAAUUCUUUACUCCAUUUAACUAGCAGCCUCUUAAGUUCAUAUCUAUCAUGGCAAGCAAAAAAAGCUGCAGAAAAUUCAGCAUCUAAAAGAUAACCCUCAGGAAUAGCAGGCAUAUUCUCAUCAUCACUAUCAUCAUCAUAUUCAGGUUCAAUAAUUUCUCUUUCUCUAGACCUAGCAAUUUGUUCAUCAAGAAAUUCACCAAGGGGCACAGUAGUAUCGAGCAUAGAAGUAGUUUCAUCAUAAGUAUCAUGCAUAGCAGAAGUGGCAUCAUCAAUAACAUGCGACAUAUCAGAUUCAUAGCAGUAGCAGGUUUAGGUGUCGCAAGCUUACUUAUAACAGAAGGAGAAUCUAGUGCAGAGCUAGAUGGCAGUUCCUUACCUCCCCUCGUAGUUGAGGGCAAAAUAGUAGUUCGAUCGUGUUUCAAGUUCUUCAUAGUGUCCAGCGGAUAUAAAUCCCAAGUGACUCAAAGAAUAGAGCUAUGCUCCCCGGCAACGGCGCCAGAAAAAGGUCUUGAUAACCCACAAGUAUAGGGGAUCGCAACAGUUUUCGAGGGUAGAGUAUUCAACCCAAAUUUAUUGAUUUGACACAAGGGGAGCCAAAGAAUAUUCUCAAGUAUUAGCAGCUGAGUUGUCAAUUCAACCACACCUGGAAACUUAGUAUCUGCAGCAAAGUGUUUAGUAGCAAAGUAAUAUGAUAGUGGUGGUAAUGGUAACAAAAGUAAAGACAACAAAAGUAAUGUUUUUGGUAUUUUGUAGUGAUUGUAACAGUAGCAACGGAAUAGUAAAUAAGCUAGAACCAAUAUAUGGAAAACUCGUAGGCACCGGAUUAGUGAUGGAUAAUUAUGCCGGAUGCGGUUCAUCCUUUAACAGUCAUAACAUAGGGUGACACGGAACUAGCUUCAAUUCAUCAAUGUAAUGUAGGCAUGUAUUCCGUAUAUAGUCAUACGUGCUUAUGGAAAAGAACUUGCAUGACAUCUUUUGUCCUACCCUCCCGUGGCAGCGGGGUCCUAUUGGACUAAGGGAUAUUAAGGCCUCCUUUUAAUAGAGAACCGGAACAAAGCAUUAGCACAUAGUGAAUACAUGAACUCCUCAAACUAUGGUCAUCACCGGGAGUGGUCCCGAUUAUUGUCACUUCGGGGUUGCCGGAUCAUAACACAUAGUAGGUGACUAUAGACUUGCAAGAUAGGAUCAAGAACUCACAUAUAUUCAUGAAAACAUAAUAGGUUCAGAUCUGAAAUCAUGGCACUCGGGCCCUAGUGACAAGCAUUAAGCAUAGCAAAGUCAUAGCAACAUCAAUCUCAGAACAUAGUGGAUACUAGGGAUCAAACCCUAACAAAACUAACUCGAUUACAUGAUAAAUCUCAUCCAACCCAUCACCGUCCAGCAAGCCUACGAUGGAAUUACUCACGCACGGCGGUGAGCAUCAUGAAAUUGGUGAUGGAGGAUGGUUGAUGAUGACGACGGCGACGAAUCCCCCUCUUCGGAGCCCCGAACAGAGUCCAGAUCAGCCCUCCCGAGAGAGAUUAGGGAUUGGCGGCGGCUCCGUAUCGUAAAACGUGAUGAUUUCUUCUCUUUGGUUUUUUUCUCCCCGAAAGCCAAUAUAUGGAGUUGGAGUUGGCAUCGGAGGGCCACCAGGGUCCCACAAGGUAGGGGGCGCGCCCUAGGGGCGGGGGGCGCCCCCCACCCUCGUGAACAGGGUGUGGGCCCCCUGGCCUUCAUCUUUGGCGAGGAUUUUUUAUUGUUUUUUCUAAGAGGUUCCGUGGAGUUUCAGGUCAUUCCGAGAACUUUUAUUUCUGCACAUAAAACAACACCAUGGCGAUUCUGCUGAAAACAACGUCAGUCCGGGUUAGUUGCACUCAAAUCAUACAAGCUAGAGUCCAAAACAGGGGCAAAAGUAUUUGGGAAAGUAGAUACGACGAAGACGUAUCAACAGGCAUGUUUCCUAAUUCUAUAUCUUUCCCUAAUAAUAAAGCGACUAUGGUUUCAGGUCAUACGUCGUUACCAAUCUUGCAGAAAAGCCCCUCUAUUUCUUAGAAUUCAACCCACAGUCCCUUGUUAAGUGGAUCCGAGAAAAUGCUUCAUUUUUGCGGAAAACACCCUAUCAUUUAGGUUAUUCAACCCACGGUCCGAGCAGAUUUGUGUGAAGAAAAAAACCACCACAGGAGGAGCACGGGCUCUCCUGCUCUCCCUCUCGCCCAAGUCCUCACCGCCGCCACCACCACCCAUGCUGCCAACUUCUGGCGAGCUCUGGCGCCGCACAACACACCCUCGAGGUCCCCAUGGCCCGCGCCUCCGUCCCCUUCGGACAGAUUCUCCGCUCCCGGCCUCUACCGUCUGGUCGCAAACCCACCCCUAUGGCUAGGGUUUUGGGAAGGGCUUCGCCGACGCGUCUCCGGCGGCCCCAAGUCUGUGCCUCUUCCUUCCUGGUCGGGAUCCACCACCCCUACACCUCACCUUCUCUUCAGCUUCUGCAGCACUCCAUGGGAGUUCCCCAUCCACUUUAUGGAGAUGUGAAUGACGCCAUGGACCUGCAGCUCAUUUUCUCCUCCACCACGGACGUCGCGUCACCCUUCCAAGCCGCCGACCACCCUACAAGAGGUGUCGUGGAAUUGUCAGGUCAGAUGUCCUAGUGAAAGGACUUAGUCAUGGAGCCAUCGCAACUAGGAAGCUUAAAGGGGUUAAUCGGGACAAAGGACACGGGGUUUAUACUAGUUCGGCCCCUUACGGUGAAGGUAAAAGCCUACGAUCGAGUUUUGAGUGGGAUUGCUUAUGUCUCGAUUACCAAGGAGCGAAAUCGCUUGACCUAGCUCUCGAUCUGAUGUUACUUGCCCUGAACCGCCGCCGAGUCGUCUCUUUAUAUACAGAGGUCGACGCGCAGAAAUAGAUCACAAGAACCCUUGGCGGCUUACCGCAGGGCGGGUCAUAGUAUUUAUAUA